CCUCGCGUCGUCCUGAUCCUCCCUCUUCGAAGUUUCCGACCACCAAAUUUAGGACCAUCAUCACCGAUCUCUCCCAUCUUCCCUUCCUUGGCCUCUCUUCUUCCCCUCCUUCCUAGGUGGAAGAAAUAGAGAUUGGGGUUACCACCGAGAGGAGGGGUGAGAGAAAGAGCCUCCUCUCCGAUCAUGAACACGGAGCCGAUCUGCUCAUCCCAAGAGUAGGAAGGUCGGAUCCUAGAUAAGGUUCACUAGAGAUGGAGAAUUAGAUGCGGAGUAAAAAAGCAGAGAAGAAAGAAAGAGAGAAGUACCAUCGGCGCAACAGACUGUGGUCACGGCCGUGGCCCAUCGUGUUGGUGUCAGAUCGUUGACCACAACCAAGUUAGUUCUCCCCCCUUUUCCACUCCUCUUCUUUCAUUUUCCUAUUCUACCUCGUCCUUUGUUCUAAGUGGACAACUCCGUUAUGAACCAUAAAGUUAAAUAUAUCCAUAUAUAAGACUCAUCACGCUAUCAAAGAGAGAUAUUCUCUCUUUUUCUCCUUGAGAAAAUGAAUCGUUCACUAUUGUAUCUACUGUAUCUGGUGCAUUAAGAACUGUGACUCGUUAUCA
rnacentral:lncRNA from 1 species